AAAUAUGCAUGUGUAGAUUUGACUGUGGUUUUUCCAUCGUGGAAUUGAGAAUAGGAAAUUUUAUUGUGGGACAAGCAGCUCUCAAAGCUGUUUUAUAUAAAAUGACAAAGCAUGAGAAAUUGUGUUCCGACAAUCAACAUACUUUCAUAUAAUUUACCUUUUGACACUUUGAUUUUCUAGUAUCAAAAAUAGUGAUUUUUUUAUAAAAAGAAUACAAAAACUUAU
rnacentral:lncRNA from 1 species